rnacentral:rRNA from 1 species
UACGGAGGGGACUAGCGUUGCUCGGAAUUACUGGGCGUAAAGCGCACGUAGGCGGAUUUGUAAGUCAGGGGUGAAAUCCCGGGGCUCAACCUCGGAACUGCCUUUGAUACUGCAAAUCUCGAGUCCGGAAGAGGUGAGUGGAAUUCCUAGUGUAGAGGUGAAAUUCGUAGAUAUUAGGAAGAACACCAGUGGCGAAGGCGGCUCACUGGAUCGAAACUGACGCUGAGGUGAAAGCUAGGGUAGCAAACGGG